GAUGAACGCUGGCGGCGUGCCUAAUACAUGCCAGUCGAGCGAACAGACGGGGCUUGUGCCUGUCUUACGCUGAGGGCGGAUGGGUAAUUCCUAGGAGGCUACCUUGUCUUUAGGGCUAACGUCCGUUAGGGGAAGCUGAUCCCGCAUAGGACAUGAUAGUGAACGUGGUGGAUCUUUAGUGAAAGCCCUAUCUGCUGAGCCUUGGUCGUAUUAGCUAGUUGGAGAGGUAAAGGCUUACCAAGGCGACGAUCCGUAGCCGCUCUGAGAGGCUGAUCAGCCACACUGGAACUGAGACACGGUCCAGACUCCUACGGGAGGCAGCAGUAGGGAAUCUUCCGCAAUGGGCGAAAGCCUGACGGAGCAACGCCGCGUGAGUGAUGAAGGUCUUCGGAUCGUAAAGCUCUGUUAUUAGGGAAGAACAAAUGUGUGAGUAACUAUGCACGUCUUGACGGUACCUAAACAGAAAGCCACGGCUAACUACGUG
rnacentral:rRNA from 1 species